ACGUCGCUAGGUGGAAUUUCCCAGGUUACGGCAUAGACUAAGUAGACUACUUCCGCAGUAGAUGUCUGUCUAGCCACAGAGACGAGAGGCCACAGCAAGCUGAAAGUUCAGAAGAUCAUGUUUAGUAAGUGAACGACGGCGAUGGAAGGGAAAGGUCCGUAUCGCAUCUACGAUCCUGGUGGGAGUGAGGUCAAGGCCAGGGAUGAGGUCGUGGGGGGCAGCAGCUAUCGCCAGCUGCUGGAGGAGAACAGCAUGCUGAGGGAACGGAUGAAGGGACUUAAGAGCUUAGGUGAUCUUUUGGAAGAAUCCCAGUCGGAGGCUUCAAAGCUUCGGCAGCGGGUGGAGGAGCUGGUGAGGGACAACGAAGCUUUAAAGUCGGCCAGCUACGCCGCCAGUCUGUGUGCGGGAGCGCCGGUUCACACCGAGGCUCAAAGCAAACCCUGUUUACACCCCACUGCAGAGAAGGAGGAGCAAUCAAGCUGUUUAGGGAGAACACUUCAGCCAGAGAAGCCCCAUGAGGCCUUAUUGGAAUCCGAGAGGGUGAACAUGGAAGGAAGGAACUCUGAUGCUUUGGCUGCGGGGUUGGUGGCAGGAGCGCUUCCCCAGCUUCCUCAGGAGAACAACGAGCUGGCGAGCCAGCUGAAGCGGCUGGAGAGCUCUUUCAGCAUAUUUGCAGAGGAGUCGAACCCAAACCAGCUGCUGGCUCACCUCGGCCGCAUGGCGGUGGAGUUUCACCAUCUCUCCUCGAAGGUCCAGAAGAACGAACAGAGGACCUCUCUCCUACAGACGCUGUGUGAGCAGCUCAGACAGGAAAACAAUGAGCUUCGAAAGAAAAUGGAAGAAGAUCAUCAUAUCAGGAAUCGAGACUUGGAGCAGCUGAGACUGGAGAAUCAGAAACUGAAGGAGCUGGUCACGGGAGGAACAGCAGUGGUGUCGACUGCUUCACCGUCAGAAACAGAGACUCCAGAGGCCAAAGACGAGCCGGUUAAGGAGGAAUCUCCGGCUGUUCGACCUAAAAUGGAGGCCACCACACCACAGAAGAGUGGAAAAUCAGCAGAGAAAACCCCAGCUAAAGCAUGUGACAUAGAGGUGUACGAAAAGAAGAUCAAGCUUUUGGAGAAGCAGAGAAAGGAUGUUCUGGAGGUGAACAAGCAGUGGGACAUUCAGUGGAACGCCAUGAAGUCACAGUUUGAGCAGAAGAUCACAGACCUCAGGCAACGUCUGGCCGAGUCCCAGAAAACCGUGCUGGAGCUGGAGGCCGAGCGAGAGCAGAGGCAGCGCGACUACGACAAGAAACUGCUGCUGGCCAAGUCCAAGAUCGAGAACGUACAGGGCGAGAAGGAGUGUUUAAACUCUGAAACAACUGAGCUGAAGCAGAAGGUUCGCUACCUGCAGGAUCAGCUGCUGCCCCUCAGUAAGCAGAGGGAAUACCAGGAGAAAGAGAUCCAACGCCUUAACAGGGCCUUGGAGGAAGCCUUGAACUUGCAUUCCCCCUCAGCCUCUCAGCAACCUCCUGGACCGGGGAACUUUGCAGAUGCAGCCAAUAACCUGAAAAAACAGGAGCUGCUCACACAAAUUGCUGUACUAAAAGAACAGGUGAAAAUCUUCGAGGAAGACUUUAGGAAAGAAAGAAGUGACAGGGAGCGAAUGAAUGAGGAGAAAGAGGAUCUGAGGCGGCAAGUUGAGAGGCUCCAGGGUCAGAUUACCAAUUUGACCAAUCAACUACAUCAGGCUCAGAACGAGUGUCAGAGAGAACGAACUGAGAGAUGUAAGCUGGAGAGACUGCAGAUGCAGCAUCACAAACAGGGGCAGCAGCAGGAAAGACGUACCUCAGACCCCACGUCGGGCUCAGUGAACGGCCCGCUGAGCCCUCCCUACUGUGGUCCCUUUGUGCAGGUGGGAACGCAGGGCCUGGAGGGCUGGCCCAUUCACUUCCCUCCCCGGAUGCCCAACGCAGCGGGCGCCACGGCAGCAGCCACCACCGCCGCCGCAGCAGCAGCAGCAGCACCGCCCCCAGCUCGAGACUUCCAACCUGUUACCCCGGGUUUUCCUUGGCAGAUGUCAUUCCCUCAACCACGAGGGGCCAGAGCAGUAGGAGAGAGCUCAAGACCGCCACCAGAGAAUGCAGACCAGUCAACAGCAGCCACAGCGACAGGGUUUGGCAAAAGGGAGAGACAGAACAUCGACCCCGGAAAGCACUAAAGCAUCACCGUACCCAUCUGAUGGAGUCUGGGUAGUAGCAUGAAACUGUCUUUGAGUUGACAAGGGUUACUGGAAGCCAUUCCCCAAAAGCAAAUAGGACAACACGUGCUCAUUUCCAGCGCUGAAUGAUUAUAUAGGUACAAUGAAUCAUAGAAGUAAAAACAAUGUGAAUGUUAAUUGAUUUUAUGAGGAUUUCUACAGUGCCAUCGAUGUUCUAGAAAUGUCUAAUAUGUGUAACUGUUCAAAAGUGGUUGUUGAAAUACAAAAAUUUGAGGAAAUGAAUUUUGAUACCAAAAAACCAAAAAACAUGAUUGUGAUUACUAAUAAUUUAUUUAUAACCUGCUGUUUUGAUAGUUGCAUUUACUGAGUGUAAAUCAUUGUCUUUAGUAAUGCUGUUCUUUCUAUGUUGUUAGUGUAAUCCCAAUAUAUUGUAGCUAUUGACAUUGUAUGUUUGUAUCAGACACAAUACACAAUGCACAUUACUUAAACAUCUUUUUUUUCCAUGAUGAUGGACCUAAUCUCAUUAAACGACACUUCUACUUGGUUUUACCACGCAUUCUGAUAUCUAUGCUCAUUUUUACUGCAUCCUGUACCAUUUUUACUGUAGCCCCAACACACAGUUGCAAACAGAGCUUCAAAAUCUUAAGGCAGCAGGUGUGAUUAAAGUCCUAUUCGUACAACAACUUGCAUAUUGCAGCUCUGCUCCUCGGAGGAAAAAAAAAAAAAAACCUUGUCCAGGAUGUCUUGACGACGCUUUCAGUCCCAAUUGACAACCAGCAAUUGAUGCCAAGGGGAUUCGCCUGCAAGGUCAGAAGACCUCAUGAGUCUUCUGACUCAUGAGGUCAAUGUAAAACAAUGUAAAAUAUGUUUUACAUUUUUUUUUAGAUGUGGUCAAGCCAAUCUCAAAGUGGUUUUACCUCAGCACCAGUUAUUUCCUUAGUAUAAAGUAUUUCAAGUAGUUAGACGAAGGGCUUCAAAUUGUGCGGGACGGGACUUUGGCUCAGUUUUUUUGUGAAAUGAGUUUGUAAGUUUGCGGGGAACAAAAAUUUUUGAUGGGUGAGAACUGAGACAUCAGCAGAGUUGCACUUUGAAAGGUAUGCUGUAAUUUCUGGCAGGUGUAUUUUUCUGGUUUAUGGCGUUCUUUUUUUUCUUUCAUUUUGCUGUUGGCAAAAAGCACAUGUGAGACUUUUUGUAUUUGACUGGCUUAAUAAAUCUAUUCUAAAUGUCUUA